rnacentral:lncRNA from 1 species
GAAUAAAGACAUAUAAUAAUAACUAAUUUAUUAUUGCCUCUAGGGCAUAUUUCUAACAGGGUCGUAUUUUUGUUAGGCUAGUUAGCUUAUUCCUAUAUACGCAUACCCCUGUAAUAUUUGUCACACGAGAUCAAAAGCAAUAAACAUUACGAAGACUCGACACGAGCCUUUUGCCAACUCGAUGUCUCUUCUGUCCUCGUGUUCGUGUUGUGUAUUCGGCGAGUUCGUACAGCCGUCUCAGCGAAUUAAUAGCUAGCUAGCUAUCUUCCGUACGUGAGGCUCCAAAAUCCAAGUAUCUUCCGUACAUGAGUCUCCAAAAUCCAUCCACCUGCUUUCUUUGGUUGGGUAAGCGAGUAUAAUCGUAUACAUUACUCAAUUGAUCGGAAGGAAUCAACGGUUGCUCGCUUGCAUGACUUCACCUUUGGAAAGUACCCGACAGCUACAUCAUUAAGAUCGGUUUUGUGCCAACACACGUGUAUUGUAUGUAGAUUAAAGUAAAAAUAAAUAUAACACAUGAAUAUUACCAUAGUGUCUGAGCCAACAUUUCAAAUUAGAAUGUACAUAGUUAUGAUUUUAUUUUUCAGGUUACCAAUUCCACUUGGGGUAUACAUAUUUAUACUAAAAUUUUAUAUUUACCAUACUACAGUGUGAAGAGUAUAAUUUUUCAUUACUUAUUUAGAAUACUUAACCACGUCACAGAGUUAAAUAUAAGUUGUAUUAUUAUUUUAUUACAUAUUUGUAUUGUAUAUCAUUGAAAAUCACUAGUGCGUUG